UGCACAUCGCUGACGAGUGGCGGACGGGUGAGUAAUGCUUGGGAACUUGCCUUUGCGAGGGGGAUAACAGUUGGAAACGACUGCUAAUACCGCAUAACGUCUACGGACCAAACGGGGCUUAGGCUCCGGCGCAGAGAGAGGCCCAAGUGAGAUUAGCUAGUUGGUGAGGUAAAGGCUCACCAAGGCGACGAUCUCUAGCUGUUCUGAGAGGAAGAUCAGCCACACUGGGACUGAGACACGGCCCAGACUCCUACGGGAGGCAGCAGUGGGGAAUAUUGCACAAUGGGGGAAACCCUGAUGCAGCCAUGCCGCGUGUGUGAAGAAGGCCUUCGGGUUGUAAAGCACUUUCAGUUGUGAGGAAAAGUGAGUAGUUAAUACCUGCUCACCGUGACGUUAGCAACAGAAGAAGCACCGGCUAACUCCGUGCCAGCAGCCGCGGUAAUACGGAGGGUGCGAGCGUUAAUCGGAAUUACUGGGCGUAAAGCGCACGCAGGCGGUUUGUUAAGCUAGAUGUGAAAGCCCCGGGCUCAACCUGGGACGGUCAUUUAGAACUGG
rnacentral:rRNA from 1 species